rnacentral:rRNA from 1 species
CCUACGGGUGGCAGCAGUGGGGAAUUUUGGACAAUGGGCGCAAGCCUGAUCCAGCCAUGCCGCGUGUCUGAAGAAGGCCUUCGGGUUGUAAAGGACUUUUGUCAGGGAAGAAAAGGAGUUGGUUAAUACCCGACUCUGAUGACGGUACCUGAAGAAUAAGCACCGGCUAACUACGUGCCAGCAGCCGCGGUAAUACGUAGGGUGCGAGCGUUAAUCGGAAUUACUGGGCGUAAAGCGAGCGCAGACGGUUUGUUAAGCAGGAUGUGAAAUCCCCGGGCUCAACCUGGGAACUGCGUUCUGAACUGGCAGGCUAGAGUGUGUCAGAGGGGGGUAGAAUUCCACGUGUAGCAGUGAAAUGCGUAGAGAUGUGGAGGAAUACCGAUGGCGAAGGCAGCCCCCUGGGAUAACACUGACGUUCAUGCUCGAAAGCGUGGGUAGCAAACAGGAUUAGAUACCCUAGUAGUC